rnacentral:rRNA from 1 species
UUUUAAAAAAGGAGAGUGACAAGAAAAAACCAUACGGGGGUAAUGCUUUGUAAAUGGCCAGGGGGGGACCCUUACCCUUGCCCGGGUACCCCUUGGGGGGCAAAUUUGGGGCCCGCCGGCCCGGGAAAUUCCACUUCCAAAGGGUAUAUUUAAAUUUUUUCCGUUUAAAAAGUUUUUGUUUUUAUUUUUGUUCCCGUUAUUGUGUUUUUCCUUGGGGGGACACCUCGUUACUUUGAGAAAAUUAGAGUGUUUCAAGCAGGUUUUGCCUGUAUAAUUGAGCAUGGAAUAACCUUGUAUGACCCUGUCGUACCGUUGGUUGCCUUGGGUAAUGGUAAUAGGAACGGUGGACAUAC